GUUUACUACUUAGUAAAUACUUUGAAAAUUACCCGUGUAUUUGUACUAAUACCGUUACAUUCAGUAAUUUUAUAAGUCAAAUUGCGCGGAAAGGAGUCGUGUCGAUCGCUAAUCGCCAUUUUGUACAAUUAUGUAAUGCACGUAUUCAUUAUUCUGUUUUGUGUUAUAGUUACCGACAAUGCUUAAUGCUUAUGUGUGUUUUGUUAUUAAUAUCGACUAUAUUCAAGGUUCGACGCCUCAGGCCGAUCCACGGUUUAUGGGUAACUUAGCUUUACGCCUGCAGCUUCGCCCACGUAGAAUUCGCUUAUAUCGCGCGACAUAGCAAGGAGUAUUUUCUUCGCAUUAAAAAAUCAGCUUCAUUGUGGCAAUAAAUAUAAAAUAUAUGGAUUUGAGAAGAUACCGAUUUGACAAGAGAACCAUUUAAUGUAAUGAAAGAAACUACACCAUAUC